UACAGAGGUCUCAAGCGUUGUUCGGAAUUACUGGGCGUAAAGGGCUCGUAGGCGGCCCUCCCAGUCGGAUGUGAAAUCCCCAGGCUUAACCUGGGAACGGCAUCCGAUACUGGAGGGCUUGAAUUCGGGAGAGGGAUGCAGAAUUCCAGGUGUAGCGGUGAAAUGCGUAGAUAUCUGGAGGAAUACCGGUGGCGAAGGCGGCAUCCUGGACCGAGAUUGACGCUGAGGAGCGAAAGCUAGGGGAGCAAACGGG
rnacentral:rRNA from 1 species